ACGCUGGCGGCGUGCCUAAUACAUGCAAGUAGAACGCUGAAGGAGGAGCUUGCUUCUCCGGAUGAGUUGCGAACGGGUGAGUAACGCGUAGGUAACCUGCCUGGUAGCGGGGGAUAACUAUUGGAAACGAUAGCUAAUACCGCAUAAGAGUAGAUGUCGCAUGACAUUUGCUUAAAAGGUGCAAUUGCAUCACUACCAGAUGGACCUGCGUUGUAUUAGCUAGUUGGUGGGGUAACGGCUCACCAAGGCGACGAUACAUAGCCAACCUGAGAGGGUGAUCGGCCACACUGGGACUGAGACACGGCCCAGACUCCUACGGGAGGCAGCAGUAGGGAAUCUUCGGCAAUGGACGGAAGUCUGACCGAGCAACGCCGCGUGAGUGAAGAAGGUUUUCGGAUCGUAAAGCUCUGUUGUAAGAGAAGAACGAGUGUGAGAGUGGAAAGUUCACACUGUGACGGUAUCUUACCAGAAAGGGACGGCUAACUACGUGCCAGCAGCCGCGGUAAUACGUAGGUCCCGAGCGUUGUCCGGAUUUAUUGGGCGUAAAGCGAGCGCAGGCGGUUAGAUAAGUCUGAAGUUAAAGGCUGUGGCUUAACCAUAGUACGCUUUGGAAACUGUUUAACUUGAGUGCAAGAGGGGAGAGUGGAAUUCCAUGUGUAGCGGUGAAAUGCGUAGAUAUAUGGAGGAACACCGGUGGCGAAAGCGGCUCUCUGGCUUGUAACUGACGCUGAGGCUCGAAAGCGUGGGGAGCAAACAGGAUUAGAUACCCCUGGUAGUCCACGCCGUAAACGAUGAGUGCUAGGUGUUAGACCCUUUCCGGGGUUUAGUGCCGCAGCUAACGCAUUAAGCACUCCGCCUGGGGAGUACGACCGCAAGGUUGAAACUCAAAGGAAUUGAC
rnacentral:rRNA from 1 species